rnacentral:rRNA from 1 species
UACGAGGGGGGCAAGCGUUGUCCGGAAUCAUUGGGCGUAAAGCGCGUGUAGGCGGUCCGGUAAGUCCGCUGUGAAAGUCGGGGGCUCAACCCUCGGAUGCCGGUGGAUACUGUCGGGCUUGAGUACGGAAGAGGCGAGUGGAAUUCCUGGUGUAGCGGUGAAAUGCGCAGAUAUCAGGAGGAACACCAAUUGCGAAGGCAGCUCGCUGGGACGUUACUGACGCUGAGACGCGAAAGCGUGGGGAGCAAACAGG